rnacentral:rRNA from 1 species
GAGACUCUGUGCGCGUGCAUAUCAAUAAGCGGAGGAAAAGAACCUAACAAGGAUUCCCCUAGUAACGGCGAGUGAAGCGGGAAGAGCUCAAAUUUGAAAUCUUAAAGGGUUCUACCUUGACGAAUUGUAGUUUAUAGAAGUGUUUUCUGUAGUGGAGUUCGGUAAAAGUUCUUUGGAAUAGGACAUCAUAGAGGGUGAGAAUCCCGUAUUUGACCGUUACUUUCCUAGCUGUGUGAUACACUUUCAAAGAGUCGGAUUGUUUGGGAAUGCAGUCCAAGAUGGGUGGUAAAUUUCAUCUAAAGCUAAAUAUUGGCGAGAGACCGAUAGCGAACAAGUACCGUGAGGGAAAGAUGAAAAGAACUUUGAAAAGAGAGUUAAACAGUACAUGAAAUUGUCAAAAGGGAAGCGUUUGACACCAGUGUUGUUUAGUUGAAAAUCAAUUCAAUAGUUUUUGAUUCUAAGUAGUAUUGACUUCAUCAGCUUGCUGCUUUCUUCUCAGAAGUUAUUGAAUGCACUUUUCAGUUAACAAGUCAACAUCAAUUUCUUUUGUUGUAAAAGGGUAAGAGGAAGGUGGCUUGCGCUUCGGCUCAAGUGUUUAUAGCCUUUUAUCUCUGCAAUCGGAGAGAUUGAGGAUCUGCAGCGUAGACUCCUUUCGGGGUUAGAUACAGUUUGUGCUAAGCUAUAGCCUUGUAUAGACAACUUGUUGACUAUACUCAGUCAUGUAGCUUACUCGCAUGAUAGCUAUUUUACCUACGCUUAGGAUGUUGACAGCAGUAAGACUGU